UCGAGACCCUUCUUCAGAUCCAGGCUGGUUUUCAGAUUCCAAGUCUGUGGUGGGAAACGCGGGGCCCCAUUGCAGGCAGGAUGUGUAGGAAGGAACUGCUGAUG